AAAAAAGCAGGGAUCUGUCGCCAUUUUAUAAGGAUAGAUCUCUCGUAUGCUUCAGGUAGAUCACUGGCAUUGUUUUUGGGUGAGUCUGUUUUCAAUUGACAUGAUGAUAUGACUCAAUACACAAUGCCACAUUC
rfam:Zostera marina strain Finnish scaffold_34, whole genome shotgun sequence.